rnacentral:rRNA from 1 species
CAAGUCGAACGAUGAACCUGGAGCUUGCUCUAGGGAAUUAGUGGCGAACGGGUGAGUAACACGUGAGUAACCUGCCCUUGACUCUGGGAUAACCUCCGGAAACGGAAGCUAAUACCGGAUAUGACGCACGGAGGCAUCUCCUGUGCGUGGAAAGAACUUCGGUCAAGGAUGGACUCGCGGCCUAUCAGGUAGUUGGUGAGGUAACGGCUCACCAAGCCUACGACGGGUAGCCGGCCUGAGAGGGUGACCGGCCACACUGGGACUGAGACACGGCCCAGACUCCUACGGGAGGCAGCAGUGGGGAAUAUUGCACAAUGGGCGCAAGCCUGAUGCAGCAACGCCGCGUGAGGGACGACGGCCUUCGGGUUGUAAACCUCUUUUAGUAGGGAAGAAGCGAAAGUGACGGUACCUGCAGAAAAAGCACCGGCUAACUACGUGCCAGCAGCCGCGGUAAUACGUAGGGUGCGAGCGUUGUCCGGAAUUAUUGGGCGUAAAGAGCUCGUAGGCGGUCUGUCGCGUCUGCUGUGAAAACCCGAGGCUCAACCUCGGGCCUGCAGUGGGUACGGGCAGACUAGAGUGCGGUAGGGGAGAAUGGAAUUCCUGGUGUAGCGGUGGAAUGCGCAGAUAUCAGGAGGAACACCGAUGGCGAAGGCAGUUCUCUGGGCCGUAACUGACGCUGAGGAGCGAAAGCGUGGGGAGCGAACAGGAUUAGAUACCCUGG